GGAAGAGGCAGAACUGUGUGGGAAGGCUGAAGAAAAUAAGGAAGGUUGUUUACAGUCACUUCAUCGAGCAUCUACUGGGAGCCAGCCACUGUGCAUGCCACCAAGAAAACUGUUAUGAAGAGUGUAGUUCUUACACGCAGAGAGCCCACGGAGGAGGGAAAAGAGGGUGUGAAGCUGGCCUUACUCGAAUCAUAAGGACUAAGAGCUGGAGAAGAGCAGUUCAUCAAGGGAAAAGGAGGAGCUAUUUUCAGAAGAAGAAUGGAUACUUGGUGGUCACAUCCAUCACAAUGCCCAUGAUGUCCUUUUCUUGCAGAGAUAUUUUAAUUUGGACUGUCCUAAGCUAUUAGAGUGUUCUAGUAAUCUUCACCCUCAAUACAGAAGAGGUUGGAUUUCCAGGUUUCUGAUUUCUUGUCUCCCAGAGUUUCCUUAAUUCCAAGUUUUCCCACUUCCUGCUUAGCAGUGGACCAGUGUUCGUGAAGAGGCGUCCAUCCUCCCUCAGUACAUUGGGAGCCUGCUUCUCUUAUGUUUGUAUGACUAACAGGGGUGACUCAAAUGUUUAGUGUGGUGGUUCUCAAGGUUGUGGUCCCCAGAUCAGCAGCAUCAGCAUCACCUGGAAACUUAUUAGAAAUGCAAAUUCUAUGGCCUCAUCCCAGACCUACUGAUUCAGAAACUCUGGAGGUCAGGUUCAGACAUCUGUGCUUUCACAAGGUCUCCAGAUGACUCUGAUAACAUACUCAAGGUUUGAAACCACUGAUUUAGGGACUAGUCCAAGAAAAUCUACUCUAGGAAGACUGAGUAUGAAGAGUCCACAUCAACUUACCUCUUUUAUAGUCUGCCUUCCUAAGCUCCUGACACCAAGGGAAAGAUUCAUUAAAUCUUAAAUGCUGCUUGCUGGAAGCAAAGAGAUUACUUUGUGCUUGGUGCAAGAGGCUUUCAGUGAGCUGCAGUUGAGAAUCUCUCAGAAAAUUCUUGUUGGCUUUCAGGAAAUGAAUGUUCCUGGAGAUGCGGCAGCUGCCAGGCUCAUCCUAG
rnacentral:lncRNA from 13 species